rnacentral:lncRNA from 1 species
AUGCGUUUAAUUGUGUGGUAUGUAUUUGUUUACUUUUUCUUAGGAGAUGGACCAUUCCCAUCGAUUUCUGGUUGUUGGAGUGGGAGGCUGAACCCGGAAAUGGAGAAACUAAAAUGCUACCAGGUUGUGAGAAAGAGAAAGAGAAAAAGUGGGAAAGGAAACCUUGCCUUUGCCUCCGCGGCCAGGCCCGCCAAUAUUCUCCUCCUUUCUUCCUGUCCUCGAAAGUCUGAGGGCUUCUUGCUCAUCCUCAGGCACGCACUGCAUUUAGAAAAUAUGCCACUUUCUUCUGGCUCCCAUGGUUUCUGCUGAGAAAUAUGCUGUCAUUUCAGUUGUUU